CGGCAUCUGUAAGUACUGGUGUGUGGUGCACUGAACAGCGGCAUCUGUAAGUACAGUGUGUGGUGCACUGAACAGCGGCAUCUGUAAGUACUGGUGUGUGGUGCACUGAACAGCGGCAUCUGUAAGUACUGUGUGUGGUGCACUGAACAGCGGCAUCUGUAAGUACUGGUGUGUGGUGCACUGAACAGCGGCAUCUGUAAGUACUGGUGUGUGGUGCACUGAACAGCGGCAUCUGUAAGUACAGUGUGUGGUGCACUGAACAGCGGCAUCUGUAAGUACUGGUGUGUGGUGCACUGAACAGCGGCAUCUGUAAGUACUGGUGUGUGGUGCACUGAACAGCGGCAUCUGUAAGUACAGUGUGUGGUGCACUGAACAGCGGCAUCUGUAAGUACUGGUGUGUGGUGCACUGAACAGCGGCAUCUGUAAGUACUGUGUGUGGUGCACUGAACAGCGGCAUCUGUAAGUACAGUGUGUGGUGCACUGAACAGCGGCAUCUGUAAGUACAGUGUGUGGUGCACUGAACAGCGGCAUCUGUAAGUACAGUGUGUGGUGCACUGAACAGCGGCAUCUGUAAGUACAGUGUGUGGUGCACUGAACAGCGGCAGUAUGAUGACUGGGGGAUGCCAAGAACCCAUGGGUUGCAGAAAGGAAUAGGACAGAUUUAAGAUGGGUACCUUCGCUAUGCCCCAGCUGCUCCAUGAGUCUAGACAGUACUGGCGACAAAGCCCAAGUGUCCAUUUUGCUCUAACUUGGGUUUGCUUAGAACGGGGACAGAGUAAGGUUUUCGUGGUAUGAGUUCUUAGUAAGGCAGACCAGCAUGGUCAGCCCAGGUGAGUUAUGAGGCGCGUUCCCAUCAGAAAGCUGCUCAGGCACUUCACGGUUACCCAGUGACUCGUCCACCACAUCCAGGGACAUGUGAGCAGCACCGGCACUGUUGCUAACCCUUCCCCGGUGCCCAAGAGCUCACUCAGUCAGUGACCAUGCUGAGCACCCAUGGACCUGUCUCUUCAAUUCUGUACAGGACUCAGGUGCCUCCUUCCUCCCCUAGCCACCCCUCAUAGAAGCUGGCCUUCUAGUAAUGUGCUGUAUGAUGCUGGCAAGGUGUCGAAGCCUGUAAGGAGGGUUUCCCCGGUAAGGACAGUCACCCCCAUCCUGCUGGAUCCCACAACCAGACUAGCGCAAGCUAUGGCUUCAAGAACUUUGACCACUGCCAGGCAACUGCUAGGACCAUGGCUAUGUAUCACCACAGCCCACGGCCUCGCAUGUAUCUUCCUGGACUCUAACCAUGGCGCCGUCCAUUUCAACUGUGUGAACUAGGGCAGGGCUCAGCUGCUCUGCACCUAACGUUCCACCUUGAAACUGGGCAAACAGUCUGAGUCCAGGUGGGACACACCUGUGAGAUGCAGCUGUGAUAAGCCCAAGUGUUGGCGUCACCUGACUGAAGUGAGCUCUGGGGGGUUCUAGGCCACACUUUGUACUUCUCCCCGGUCCCUGCAGAGUCUGGUCAAAGGCACUUGUUGCAGGUGCCACAAGAGUGAUGCUACUUAAAGACUCAACAGAUACAGUCCCUGAGAGUGUGGAUGGGAACCCUUUAAGUACAGCAAAGAUGAAUGUUUCUAGACUAGAAAACCAUUUCAGUCAGGCAUGGAAGGCACCAACACGCACACCAAAUCCUGCCAGAAGGGCCUCACUUGAGUCCUUGACUUAUCAAGGACAGUGCCAUGCAGGGGCAGGGACGGCUAGACAGUUGGCUAGACAGCACAAAAAACUUGGGGCUAAUCUCCCCAAAUUAGAGUAAGAUCCACCCAGAGGAGACCAGCAAUGUAGGCAGAGCACCAGUAAAGAAGUCACAGGGACCCUCCCGACUCUCCAGGCACUUCACAAGUGUCUGACUCAACAUUCAAAGGAUAAAGAGUGAA